rnacentral:misc_RNA from 1 species
AAGAUGGCCUCUGGUGUACUGCCGACCAGACAUCGGAGAGAUGAAUCAAUCAAACGCCAGAAAUCAAAGUCAGACCGGGACAUUUUAUUACAGAUGGGAUUUUCAAAACAACGAGCGGAAAAGGCAAUAGCAUCUACAGGAGAUCGUGGAGUACAACUGGCAUCCGACUGGCUCCUGUCACAUGUGAACGACCCACACCUGGAUGAGAACAAAGGCCGCGAAUACAUCCUCUAUCUUGUCCCUCAGGGAGCACUGCAGAAACAGAUUGUAGAAUUUGCUGAGAAGUCCCUCAACAGCUGUGGAUGGAAUGGAUCUCAUGCAUACUUCCCACAUAUCACACUCUGUCCAUUCUUCACUGUUGAGGAUUGUAAAGUACAUGAGGUCACCUCUGCUGUUCAGAAGUUACAGACCAAACUACGCCAGGCACCAGACAGAAUGAAGCUGGACUUUUUCAGUCAAGUGAAUUUCAUUGGACUGUUUGUACAGGAAGAUUUCUAUAGGUUCCUGUCAGAUGUUACCAAUCAAGUUGGAGAUGAACUUAACAAAUCAGGAGUAAAGUUUGAACCACACAAGAAACAGCUUCAUAUGACUCUGGCCUACCAGUACCAAGUCGACCAGCAUGAUAAACUGCUCACUAUGGCCAAGGAAAUCAAUCUUGAUGCUGAUGUACGCUGGGACUUCCGACUUUACUCCCGUGAUAUCACUAGGGCACACUGUGAGGUGCGUAAGGUUUUGAAAGCGUACACCACACAGCAUGGAGACGAGUUGGAGUUAAUUGAUGGGGACUUUGUGUAUGUGGAGCCCUCAGAGAUCCAGGAGAGUAAGGAUGGCUGGUAUAAAGGAAUAUCAUGGCUAACUGGAAACUCUGGAUACUUCCCGGGAACCUACACACAGAGGACCGCCGACACCCGUACCUGGACGUUACACAGGUCUUUACCUAUGGAGGCUAUGGUAGAGCUCCAUCAGGGGGCCACACCCAUCAAUCCAAAAGGAGUACCACCCCUCAUUACCCAGGAUGCUACACCUCUCGUCUCUUUGGGAGCCACACCAACUUACCCUAAAGGUGCAAACCCCUCUAUCCCUCAUGGGACCACACCUCUUAUCCCUCAGGGAGCCACGCCCAUCAUUCUUCAAAGUAAUGGGUUUACCUUGGAGGUCCUGGAUGAUACCUACGACAAUCUGUGGCAUGACAAUAAAGGAUACGCACAGGUGAAGAAGAGAUCCCCAUUAUCAGAACCAGACCGCUGUGAACCACGCAAACUGUUUGUAGUGAGACACGGCGAGCGGGUAGAUUUUACUGUGGGAAAGGACUGGUUUGACAUGUGUUUUGAUGAGGAAGGUAACUACAAAAGGAACAAUUUGAAUUUACUCAGGGAACUGCCAAAAAGGAAAACACACCUGGAAUAUAUCAAAGACCCACCCCUCACUGUCAUAGGUCACUAUCAAGCUAAACUUACAGCGGAGAACCUGCUGGAGAGCGGAGUGACAGUGUUCUGUAUAUAUUGUUCCCCCUCCCUGCGAUGUGUACAAACUGCCACAGAGAUCUUCAAAGUGUUUAAUUUACCAUGGAAGUUGAGAAUCGAGCCGGGCCUGUACGAGUGGACAGGGUACCAGGCAGGUGUCCCGCGGUGGAUGUCACCCUCCGAACUCUUGCAGCAUGGCUACCCUGUGGAUACAACCUAUGUGCCACAAUACCCCAGAGAGAAACUCCAGGAAGAUGAACCAGUGGAGGUGUUAUAUGCCCGGUCGACCGAGACUUCCAAACAGAUCCUCAAAAACCACGAACUAGAAGGUGGGAAUCUGUUAUUUGUUGGACAUGCGGGAACGCUGGAACUGAGUACAAGACUGUUAGUGGGAAGAGGAGCUCGAAACCUAAAUGACUAUAAACAGAUCCUGCCUAAAGUGCCAUACUGCUGUCUUUGUGCCAUCGAGGAAGAUCCAGCAAGAAAGAAGUGGACAUUUAUAGAGCCGCCAGCUUUACCCCUGACACACAGCCGUAACUACAGCCAGAAGAUUAUAACAUUGCGGCAGUAGGUUUUACUGUAUAACAGGUCUACCCCUGACACACAGCCCUAACUACAGCCAGAAGAUUAUAACAUUGCUACAGUAGGUUUCACUGUAUAACAGCUCUACCCCUGACACACAGCCAUAACUACAGCCAGAAGAUUAUAACAUUGCUACAGUAGGUUUUUCUGUAUAACAGGUCUCCCCCUGACACACAGCCGUAACUACAGCCAGAGGAUUAUAACAUUGCUACAGUAGGUUUUACUGUAUAACAGGUUUACCCCUGACACACAGCCCUAACUACAGCCAGAGGAUUAUAACAUUGCGGCAGUAGGUUUUACUGUAUAACAGGGCUACCCCUGACACACAGCCGUAACUACAGCCAGAAAAUUAUAUCAUUGCGGCAGUAGGUUUUACUGUAUAACAGGUCUACCCCUGACACACAGCCGUAACUACAGCCAGAAAAUUAUAUCAUUGCGGCAGUAGGUUUUACUGUAUAACAGGUCUACCCCUGACACACAGCCGUAACUACAGCCAGAAAAUUAUAUCAUUGCGGCAGUAGGUUUUACUGUAUAACAGGUCUACCCCUGACACACAGCCGUAACUACAGCCAGAGGAUUAUAACAUUGCGGCAGUAGGUUUUACUGUAUAACAGGGCUACCCCUGACACACAGCCGUAACUACAGCCAGAAGAUUAUAUCAUUGCGGCAGUAGGUUUUACUGUAUAACAGGUCUACCCCUGACACACAGCCGUAACUACAGCCAGAGGAUUAUAACAUUGCUACAGUAGGUUUUACUGUAUAACAGCUCUCCCCCUGACACACAGCCGUAACUACAGCCAGAAGAUUAUAUCAUUGCGGCAGUAGGUUUUACUGUAUAACAGGUCUACAUCUACUGACUCAGUCUGUACCACACAAACAGUCUGUAUUUAGUAGCAAUAAAGGGAUUAAAAUCAUUAUAUACUAGGAAAUUUUCACCAAAUAAAACCUGUACGCUUCACAUAAAUAUCCAUACCUGGUAUUUACUCUGUGUGAAUUACAGCUUUCACAUGUAAUGACUAUACAUGUAUAUGGUAUGCUGUGAACAAAUAUUUACUGUCAUCAUAACAAAGGUGUAAAGGACAUUUCCCUGGUAUACAGUAGUACUGAUCCUGUAUACAGUAGUACUGAUCCCAUAUACAGUAGUACUGAUCCCGUAUACAGUAGUACUGAUCAAGUGUACAGUAGUACUGAUACAGUAAACAGUAGUACUGAUCCUGCGUACAGUAGGACUGAUCCCGUAUACAGCAGUACUGAUCCCGUAUACAGUAGUACUGAUCCAGUAUACAGUAGUACUGAUCCCGUAUACAGUAGUACUGAUCCCGUAUACAGUAGUACUAAUCGUGUAUACAGUAGUACUGACCCCAUAUACAGUAGUACUGAUCGUGUAUACAGUAGUACUGAUCGUGUAUAAACUAGUACUGAUC